UACGGAGGGGGCUAGCGUUGUUCGGAUUUACUGGGCGUAAAGCGCACGUAGGCGGAUCUUUAAGUCAGGGGUGAAAUCCCGAGGCUCAACCUCGGAACUGCCUUUGAUACUGGGGAUCUCGAGUCCGGGAGAGGUGAGUGGAACUGCGAGUGUAGAGGUGAAAUUCGUAGAUAUUCGCAAGAACACCAGUGGCGAAGGCGGCUCACUGGCCCGGUACUGACGCUGAGGUGCGAAAGCGUGGGGAGCAAACAGG
rnacentral:rRNA from 1 species